UCACUCUUCUGGGCUCCUGGUAGUAUACAAGUCAUGCAUGAAAAUAACACACUCAAGUCCGGGGUAAAGAACAAUAGGGGAAUGCUGUGAAAUGACAAGGUCAAAUGGUGCCCAACUUCCAAGGCCUCUUGUGGCUGGAAAGUAAUCAAUAUAGCCAUGGAAAGUACAAAAUGAAAGGCAAGGGGAGAAGCAGAAAGCAAAAAGCCAAGAGGGAAAGAGUCAAACUGAAACGGAGGUACUGUAGGCAAUGGAGGGUGGUGUCUUUACAUAACAGAGGCAUUACAAGUCCUGCCCAUCUUGCUGAGCCCCUCUUCCUAGUGGAGCUUAGUGGGCCAUGAGGCAGGGCUUGGCAGUGAGAAAGCAGAGCCGAGCAGGGCCUGUUAGUGGAAAGAGGUGGAGCCAGGUGGAUGACGAGGCCAUGCCGUUGUGAGGGCUGGGCUGGGCACAAGGCAGAGCCCACGCUGUUCCUCUAAAGUGUAUAGCUGUUACUCGCCACCAAGCAACGCCAUCGACACAGGACAUCAGACCCCUACAGAUCAGCAUGUUCCAGACUAUAUAACUGUGCCAGAAUCAGAAAAGCAGAAUAUAAGUGUUUUGUUGUAUGCUGCCCAGAGAACAAUUUAUUAUGGGGUGACUAACAAAUAAAGCUGAUGAUGAUGAUGAUGAUGAUGAUGACCCCCCCCACCACAGACUACAGGUCAAGUCAUACAUGUAUAUGUUUCAUGAUCCACAAAUUGAUCACACAGAAGGCUUUCUAGAAAACCUGUCCCCAUUUAAAGGCCUGAGAGAUGCCAACACACCCAGCCAACUAUACACAACACACAUCCUUCUUUCUUUCUCUCUGAACAUCAAAUGUAGACGAUAAACAAUGGGGAAUGCUGCGGUCCUCAUGCCGUGCUUGGAAGCUUCCAGAGGCAUUUGGCUCGUGGCCACUGAUGGAAACCGAAUGCUGGACUAGAUUGAGAGAAGUUAUUUACUUUUUGUUGCCAGCUACAAAUGUGGCUCUUUAGACUGGUCUUUGGUGUUGGCUGGUUGCUGAUUUGUGAUUCUCCUUGCUUUCUCUGUUACUGUGAGGAACUGUGUCUCUUUUUAAUUGAUUGUCUUUUAUAGGCUGUUCUAUUGCUGGCAUUUUUAUUGCUGCUUGUUUUUGUAGGGGUUUUGGAAGGGGCUCUUUUUCAUACUGUUUAGAUGGUCUGAUUGUUUUUACUUUUUAUUGUUAGCCAGUUUGGAUUGCUUGCUAGAUGGGCACAGAUUCUGUAAAUAAACAAACAAAUGGAA